rnacentral:rRNA from 1 species
UACAGAGGGGGCAAGCGUUGUUCGGAAUUACUGGGCGUAAAGCGUGCGCAGGCGGUUUCUUAAGUCAGAUGGGAAAGCCCCGGGCUUAACCUGGGAACUGCGUUUGAAACUGGGAGACUUGAGUGUGGCAGAGGGGGGUGGAAUUCCACGUGUAGCAGUGAAAUGCGUAGAUAUGUGGAGGAACACCGAUGGCGAAGGCAGCCCCCUGGGUUAACACUGACGCUCAUGCACGAAAGCGUGGGGAGCAAACAGG